rnacentral:rRNA from 1 species
UACGUAGGGUGCUAGCGUUGUCCGGAUUUAUUGGGCGUAAAGAGCUCGUAGGCGGUUUGUCGCGUCUGCUGUGAAAGACCGGGGCUCAACUCCGGUUCUGCAGUGGGUACGGGCAGACUAGAGUGCAGUAGGGGAGACUGGAAUUCCUGGUGUAGCGGUGAAAUGCGCAGAUAUCAGGAGGAACACCGAUGGCGAAGGCAGGUCUCUGGGCUGUAACUGACGCUGAGGAGCGAAAGCGUGGGGAGCGAACAGG